GGAGAGGAAAGGAAAAGGGGCGGCGGACAGAGGGGCAAGAAAAAGGGAGAAAAAUCUGAAAAAAGAGAGAGAGAGAGAGAGAGAGAGAGCAAGAGUGAUAGAGCAAACAGAAGAAAUUUAGAACAAUAAGAAACAAGAAACGAAAGAAGAAAGAGCUGGGGCAGGGAAAAAACUAAGAAAAAGCGGAACCAGUAGCCAAAGGAAAUCAACGAACCGGGGAGGAGUUGCUGCCACUUGAAUCCACCUCCACCGCCGUUAUACCUUGCUAGAAAAUACUGGCUCGAGGCAAAUAAAGCACUUGUAUUAACUUAUUAGUGUGAUUGGAUGGAAUAUUUCAUGUAUAUUUUGAAUUUCGAUUCAUUUGUGGUAUGUAAAUUCGUGGAGUAUUUGAUGUAGUAUUUGAGAUUUACAUUGUAAUUUAUUUGAAGAAUGUAGUGAGUCCUGGCGAGAAUUGGGCAAGCA